rfam:Myotis brandtii contig286487, whole genome shotgun sequence.
GGCAGUUCUCGGGUGACACCCCCCAGAAUCAAGCUCCCUCCUCUCUGGUUCUGGGUGUAUCACUGGAGAACCACC